AAGCUGUGUGGCUUUGGAUAUGUUAAUCCUUCUACACAAUCUACAGAAAUGAGCCAUGAAAGAACAUCUACUAUUUUAAGAGAGAGAAGAAAUACACUAGAUCAAGAGAGCCAGCGUGGUUCAAGCAGUGGUCAGAGACAACUUAUGGAUCUUUUACUGCCAAGGGAAUGUCAAUGCAUGAUUAGGAGUUCCGUACAGUCCAUGGGAACCCAUGUUUUUC